rnacentral:lncRNA from 1 species
ACAUUGAAUUAAACUCCUUCUGUUCAUCUGUGACCAAACUCUUUUAUUUCUCUGAAUCAGAUCUGUCAGAUUGUGAACUCAUUCUAAGUUUAUUUCCAUGUUUCUCUCUUGAUCUUUCACUUUAUUUCUCUUUAUGUUCAGUGUCUGUUUAGGUGUUUUAUCUGUUUGAAGCUCUUCAUCCGUGUCUCAGUUUUGCAGCGUCUGGUGUUUUCUGACUGUGGUUUUGCUUGAAUCUGCAGUUUCUUACAUGACUUUUAACACAUUUACCCACAUUUGUGCAUUUUACUUCAAAAAUAUAUUUGUGUCAUUAUAGAAUCAUGAUAAACAUGUCAUUCUUUAGAAACUGUAAUUGAUGUCAUCGCUGAAUUUGUUAUGCUUUACUUUGAGUUAAAUGAAAAUAAAACGCUUUGAAAUCAAACCAUAGU